rnacentral:rRNA from 1 species
GACGAACGCUGGUGGCGUGCUUAACACAUGCAAGUCGAACGUGAUUUUUGUGGAAAUUCUUUCGGGAAUGGAAAUGAAAUGAAAGUGGCGAACGGGUGAGUAACACGUGAGCAACCUACCUUACACAGGGGGAUAGCCGUUGGAAACGACGAUUAAUACCGCAUGAGACCACAGAAUCGCAUGAUAUAGGGGUCAAAGAUUUAUCGGUGUAAGAAGGGCUCGCGUCUGAUUAGCUAGUUGGAAGGGUAAAGGCCUACCAAGGCGACGAUCAGUAGCCGGUCUGAGAGGAUGAACGGCCACAUUGGAACUGAGACACGGUCCAAACUCCUACGGGAGGCAGCAGUGGGGAAUAUUGCACAAUGGGGGGAACCCUGAUGCAGCGACGCCGCGUGAGCGAAGAAGGUUUUCGAAUCGUAAAGCUCUGUCCUAUGAGAAGAUAAUGACGGUAUCAUAGGAGGAAGCCCCGGCUAAAUACGUG